CAAAUUCUGGACCUGGAGUGAGUCACUGGGCGAUGUGGUCUAGGCCUGGGGCCUCUCGCUGCAGAUGGAGUCUAAAUGUGAGAAUCCCUGUAGUACCUUCACUGACCAUAAGAUGGCAGCUCUGACCUGAGACUCCAACCCACAGCUGAUGGCGCAAAGCUUGCUGGUUUGCAUUCACUCUGCGGACAGGGUUACAACUGAUGAGAGGGGAUCUAAGAUUAUUAAGGGAUUGGACACGCUGGAGGCAGGAAGCAUGUUCCCACUGAUGGGAAUGCAGCAUAGAACAGGCCCUUCCUGUCCUUCAAGAGGUGUCACCCUGCAACUCACCGAUUUAACCCUAGCCCUAUCACAGGACAAUUUGCAAUGACAUCUUUGGACCGUGGGAGGAAAUCGGAGCAACCGGAGGAAACUCGCACGCACACAUGGGAAGGGACGUACAAGCUUGUUUACUGAGGACGCCGGAAUUGAACUCUGAGCUCCGACUCCCUAAGCUGUAGUAGCGUUGCACUAAAAUCACUCUCAGUACAUGAUCCAUAUCCCUCCAAUGCCUUCAUGUAUUUAUUCAACAGUCUCUUGAGUGGCAUUAUCAUAUCCGCUGUCACCACUGCCCCCGGCAGGCUGUUCCAGACAUCUACCACUUUCCAUGAAAAAUCUUGCUCCACACAUCUUCUUUAAACUCUAUUUCCCUACCCCACCUCCCACCUCGCCUUAAGUGCAUGUCCUCUAGUAAACACCUACACUGGGAAAACAAUUCUGUCCACCCAAUGAAUGCCUCUCAGUCAUAUAAACUGCAAUCAGGUAUCUCCUCCGCCUCCAGUGAUGCUUACGUAACCAACACAAGGUUGUCCAGUUUCCCCUUAUAGCUCAAAACUCCAAUCCAGGCAGCAUCCUGAUCUCUGCAACAUACAACUAUCUUGAUUUUACUCAGUUAUUGUCUUUGUCCUGUAUAGCAACUACUUGAAAACAAAGUAAAAGUCAUCGAGAGGCAAAGUGAGAAAGUAUCGCACUGGCUGACGCGUUUCCAACUAACUGAAUUGCAAGUCGAAAAGACGUCCACAAAACAGAAAUUUAAAGAACCCAAAGAAUGAAUUACAGAAAGCGUUUGAGCCUUUCAGAAUAAAGAGUCUUGUCUUAAUGAAGGACCCUCGGUCUGCAACGUCAACUCUUAAUUCCUUUCCAUAGAUGCUGCCUGACCUGCUGAGUUCCUCCAGCAUUUUAAGUGCCUUACUCUGGAUUUUCAGCAUCUGCAGAAUCUUUUGUGUUUGAGGCCGUCUGUUGGUCAAGGUCAACCAUGGAUGUUGUGUCCCAAUUCUCUACGUAAUAUGCAAGCUAGGGCAGUGCAAUAUGGAAUGCAAGCUAUUGCCCAUCAAGCAGAUUCCCCCUCACCACGCAGAUGAUGAAUCCAAAGCGAUGGCAAAGACUGAUGCAGUUUGGCACCAGCAGCAUUGCAGGAGUUUGCCAGACAGUGUUGAACUCAAUGUAGGACUGCCUGAGGAACUCCGGCUCCAGAUCUUUCCUCGAGGUCUACUCCCGAAGUCUUCCCCACGACUGAGUAUAGCUGCAAGGCAGCAGAGAUUUGAGAUCAGAGUUUUCCUUCUGUUAGAUAAGCUGCCAACCGCAGCGGAUAAACCCCCAUCUGCCCCAACGGACAGAGAGUUAUGUGCAGGGCCAGAUUGAAAAAGUCAGGGGGUCGAGAUACGGGCCGGUUCAGAUCACUGCUCGAAGCUGCAGAACCCCAUGUUCAGAUGGAGAUUUACAGGCCAGGCCAGAUUGAAAAGGCCAAGGUGUCCAAAAGUUCGGGGUGUCAGGGCCCAAGGUGAAGUAUGGCCUAUUAAGAUCACUGCUCCACCACUUUUACUCAGCUUAUGGGUUAUUUUAUUCUUUCAUUUUCUUAUGGAUUUGAUGUGUUUUUUAUUCUCUGCACAUUAAACGUUAGCCAGUCUUUUAUAUAUAUAUGGGAUUUGUUUUUGGGUUUCUUUGUUUCAUGACUGCCUGUAAGGAGACGAAUCUCAAAGUUGUAUAAAGUAUACAUACUUCAAUAAUAAAUGUACUUUGAACUUUGAACUAGGAUUUACGGUUUACAGAAUGGACUGAACGGCGGACUUGGGGAAAGCAAAGGGUGGAGGUGUGUGUUUUAUGGCUGGUGCUCCAACGUGGCGGAUCUAUUGAACUCGUGCUCCCCAACUUGGAACACCUUAAGGUCAAAUGCCAACCAUUCCAUUUACGUCAAAAGUUCUCAUCU